UACGAACCGAGCGAACGUUGUUCGGAAUAACUGGGCUUAAAGGGCGCGUAGGCGGUCCGCCAAGUUCGAGGUGAAAUCCUCCGGCUCAACCGGAGAACUGCCUCGAAUACUGGAGGCCUCGAGGCGGGUAGGGGCAUGCGGAACUGUGGGUGGAGCGGUGAAAUGCGUUGAUAUCCACAGGAACUCCGGUGGCGAAGGCGGCAUGCUGGACCCGAUCUGACGCUGAGGCGCGAAAGCCAGGGGAGCAAACGGG
rnacentral:rRNA from 1 species